GGGGAACAGACCACAGUGCUUUCCAAGGCAAGAGUAUCACAGGGAAGACCCAUUCCAGACCACACUACCCUCUCGAGAGCCAGGAGAAGACGCUUUCUGGGAUUGACUGAACUUUUUCCAAGGAAGGACUCACUUUGAAGGGUCAAAAGGAUCAAACUGAGCUCCUAUGACAGACAAGAGCCAUUGAUGCCUUUGGGAACUUUUCUGACACCUUCCACUUAAAAUCCCCCAAGAAGAAUCCAGAAACUCUAUUUCAUUAUCUGUAUUCAUAUUAAGAAUCAGAAGCAGGAGGGUACAGACUGCUUGGCAUGUCUUUAAAUGAUCACUAGAGUGGUCCACUUCAAACAAUACCCUACGCAGAUUCACUGCUCUGCUGGCUCUCUGAACUUCAAUCGUCCUGCUCUCUGGGAACGUCUUCACAACAGGUCUGACAGCCGUGAGGAUUUGGUGCUGGUUGAUGACUUUGCUGGAUUCAUAUUGUGCCCUUCUACUGGCUGUAGCUUGGCUGGUGGCUGAGGCUCCUCUUCUCUUGUUUUAGGGGUCUCUGCCAGGGGACAUGUCCAGAUGGAAGUAUUUUGUGAACAGUAAUUUUUGAGAGCUCAGAAACUUUUCUAUCAGAUGGUCCUUAGCACUAGGAAUCACAAGUCUGCACAAAAGCAGCAUUUCGGCUCUUUUGAUUAUGUGCCUUUGAGGCUGUCUCACACAGUUCUGAAGCAACCGGUCAGUACAAUUAGGCACUCUUUUAGCAGGAAGCACACAAACACAAUCCUGCCUUAAGGAGUCCAGGGACAGUGUCACUUGUUUUCUGUCAGCGAAGAGGAGGGGGAGAUUCGGCGGCAGCUCAAGAU
ensembl:lncRNA